AUGGAAGCUGAACACGGAAGUGGUUGGUCAAAUUUGGAGCAUAUUCGCCAAAGCGACAGUGGAACUGUUCGCGUCACAGGACAAUGCUCAGUGCCCUCUGGUCUUCUCUCUGAAGUAUCAGAGCGCGCCUCUAGGAAUAGACGCACUGGCGCACGAGUGGUCUCGCGUUCUCCUGUACGCGUUCCCACCGAUUGCGUUGAUAUCUCCAGCCCUUCACAGAGUGAGGGAGGAGGGGCUGAGAAUGAUACUGGUGGCUCCGCGGUGGCCGGGGAAAUUUUGGCUGCUGGAGAUCAUACAUAUGCUGUACGCAGAGCCGUGGUCCCUGCCACUGCGCAGGGAUCUGCUGUCACAGGCGGGGGGGGAGAUAUUUCAUCCUCAUCCAGAACGCCUGGCACUGUGGGCCUGGCCAGUGAGUGGCUAAAUAUGAAUGCGGCUGGUCUGCCAGACAGUGUCAUCAGAACUAUACAGAAUUCCAGGGCCCUGUCCACUCGGUCACUCUAUGAAUGUAAAUGGGGCGUGUUUGAGCAUUGGUGUGCGGCUAGACGCGUAAUCCCCUUUCAAUGUUCAGUGGCAGUUAUUCUAUCGUUUCUGCAGGAUAUGAUAGAUCAGGGUAAGGCAUUCUCAACAAUAAAGGUGUUUCUUGCCGCAAUAUCUGCCUGUCAUGUAGGUUUUGAUAACAAAACUGUGGGGCAGCACCCUUUGGUAUGCCGGUUUAUGAAGGGUGCGCAUCGCGCUUUGCCAGUCUCAAAACCGAUCUCUCCAUCAUGGGAUCUGGUUCUGGUGCUUGAUGCGCUUUCUGUGUCUCCAUUUGAGCCACUGGACAAAGCUGACCUAAAAUUAUUGUCAUUUAAGACGGCGCUGCUGUUAGCUUUGGCUUCAGCGAAGCGCGUAAGUGAAAUUCACGCACUUUCUGUGAAUUUAGUGUGUACACAAUUUAUGCCAAGGGACGCAGGGGUGCUUUUGAAACCUAAUCCUGUUUUUAUGCCCAAGGUGGUCAAUUCUAUUGUUCCUCUCAAGUUAAGAGCCUUUAACCCACCGCCUUUUGCUUCAGCAGAACAGCAAAGGCUGAAUACGUUAUGUUUGGUGUGUGCUUUGCGCAUUUACCCUGAGAGGACUAAAGGGUUCAGAGAGAGUGAUCAGCUGUUUGUGUCUUGGGCGAAGCCGCGUAUGGGGAAGCCGAUUACUAAACAGCGUUUAUCCCACUGUGGAGGCAAUUUCUCUUGCAUAUUCCAGUAA
ensembl:lncRNA